GACGAACGCUGGCGGCGUGCUUAACACAUGCAAGUCGAACGGAAAGGCCCUGCUUUUGUGGGGUGCUCGAGUGGCGAACGGGUGAGUAACACGUGAGUAACCUGCCCUUGACUUUGGGAUAACUUCAGGAAACUGGGGCUAAUACCGGAUAGGAGCUCCUGCUGCAUGGUGGGGGUUGGAAAGUUUCGGCGGUUGGGGAUGGACUCGCGGCUUAUGAGCUUGUUGGUGGGGUAGUGGCUUACCAAGGCUUUGACGGGUAGCCGGCCUGAGAGGGUGACCGGCCACAUUGGGACUGAGAUACGGCCCAGACUCCUACGGGAGGCAGCAGUGGGGAAUAUUGCACAAUGGGAGGAAGCCUGAUGCAGCAACGCCGCGUGCGGGAUGACGGCCUUCGGGUUGUAAUCCGAUUCCGCCUGUGACGAAGCGUGAGUGACGGUAAUGGGUAAAGAAGCACCGGCUAACUCCGUG
rnacentral:rRNA from 1 species